CAGUGCAGUCACCCAUAAAGUAGAAAGCACUACUAACAGCACUGGAGGGUGUAGUGUUUCCUACUUUAUGGAUGAGUGUACUGU
rfam:Rattus norvegicus chromosome 10, whole genome shotgun sequence.